UGGGGAAUAUUGGACAAUGGGGGCAACCCUGAUCCAGCAAUGCCGCGUGUGUGAAGAAGGUCUUCGGAUUGUAAAGCACUUUCGACGGGGACGAUGAUGACGGUACCCGUAGAAGAAGCCCCGGCUAACUUCGUGCCAGCAGCCGCGGUAAUACGAAGGGGGCUAGCGUUGCUCGGAAUGACUGGGCGUAAAGGGCGUGUAGGCGGUUUACACAGUCAGAUGUGAAAUCCCCGGGCUUAACCUGGGAGCUGCAUUUGAUACGUGUAGACUAGAGUGUGAGAGAGGGUUGUGGAAUUCCCAGUGUAGAGGUGAAAUUCGUAGAUAUUGGGAAGAACACCGGUGGCGAAGGCGGCAACCUGGCUCAUGACUGACGCUGAGGCGCGAAAGCGUGGGGAGCAAACAGGAUUA
rnacentral:rRNA from 1 species